UACGGAGGAUCCAAGCGUUAUCCGGAUUUAUUGGGUUUAAAGGGUGCGUAGGCGGAAUGAUCAGUCAGUUGUGAAAGUUUAAGGCUCAACCUUAAAAUUGCAGUUGAUACUGUCAUUCUUGAGUGUACAAGAGGUGGGCGGAAUUCGUGGUGUAGCGGUGAAAUGCUUAGAUAUCACGAAGAACUCCAAUUGCGAAGGCAGCUCACUGGGGUACAACUGACGCUGAGGCACGAAAGUGUGGGUAUCAAACAGG
rnacentral:rRNA from 1 species